GACAUACUUUGAAAUGGCCCUGCCAAGCUGUCUCUUGUGGGGGACAUUUACAUUCUGUAGAGAAUCCCUUCCCUUUCCAGGUCUUUCUCUGAUCCUGAAGACAUUGGCUGAGAGCCUAGCACCUUCUAUGGGUCUGAACAGGAAACAUUUGCCAUCUAUUGUCUCUAAGGGUGGCCACCUAUGAAACUUCAUCUACAUAAUAAGAACCUUGGUCUGCACAGUCUCUUAUCUUAACCCAGACUCUCCUUUCUAUUGAUAGCAGACCAAACCAAUGCACAACUCCUACGUACUGAUGGUGGUCUUACGUUUCCCUAAGUUUCUGCCGACUAAACUGUGCACACGUUCUCAGGACCUCCUGAAGCUGCGUCACAGGCGCUGAUCAAAGAACACAACCAAGAGUUUGGCCUUUUCUUCAGCACUGGGAAUUGUGAUCCAAAGCUUUUCCUGAUGAGGCACAAAGUUGGAGAAACAAAACGCAAACUAAGCAACAAUGAAACAGAACAGAGUGAAUCUGCUGUAGCUCAAGAGAGGACGUAGCUGCCCCCACCCCGCAUCCCUGGGCUCGGGUUUGCCUUGCUGACCUCUGCUGCCACCUGGUGCCGCACAGAGAAACUGAGGAGAAACCACAUCAGUCUCCUUCAGCCUCAGCUUCACAUCUGUGGGUCAAGCAACCCUUUCAGAAGCUGUAUAAUGUGGGAAAGCUUUCCUCUCAGGAAAAUGCACACAUCCAACUUUGAGAAGAUGCCCUUGGGGGCGCUUCAAGGAUCCUAGAUAAUAACCCCCUUUCCCGAACAUCCAAGAACCUAAGUUUUUUUUUUUUUUUUGAGAAAGUCUCGCUCUCUCUCCCAUUCUGGAGUGCAGUGGCGUGAUCUUGGCUCACUGCAAGCUCCACCUCCCAGGUUCAAGCCAUUCUCCUGCCUCAGCCUCCCAAGUAGCUGGGGCUACAGGCACCUGCCACCACACCCGGCUAAUUUUUUUGUAUUUUUAGUAGAGACGGGGUUUCACCGUGUUAGCCAGAAUCGUCUUGAUCUCCUGACCUUGUGAUCCACCCGCCUCGGCCUCCCAAAGUGCUGGGAUUACAGGUGUGAGCCACCACACCUGGUCCAAGAACCCAACUUUUAGAUCUAGAGUGAUGUCAGCAUGACAUUGAUUUCCUGAGGCCCAGGGGUGAAGGAGCUGAGGACAGCAGAGGGGUGAAGGAAGUCAGCUACAGACAGCAGCAGCUGAUGCACAGGCCUCCCAGCGCCUGAAGUCACCCGGAAUUGGGAAGUGCUCAGAAGCUUACAAAGCUGCCUCGAGGAAUCAUUCUAGCCUUCUCGUCUUGCUAAUUUGUAACCUCCCACUUCAACAGUGAGAAAGCUGGUUCCCACCAUCUGCGACUUAUGUAAGUCAUUGUUUUACUCCAGAUACAGACACUGUGGUUUUACAAUUGUUCACAAUUGCUUCUGUUGGAAAGAACUUUAUAAAAUGGAAUCCAAUAAUGAAGUAUAGUUCACGUGCCUUCAGCCUACAGAUUCUAUUCAUUUUCAAAGUUUUUACCUAGAUUUGUGUCUUAGUCCAUUUUGUGCUUCUGUAACAGAAUACCUGAGGCUGCGUAAUUUAUAAGUAAAACAGUUUCAUUUGGUUCACAAUA